GAGCGGCGAACGGGUGAGUAACACGUGAGUAACCUGCCCCUGACUCUGGGAUAAGCCUGGGAAACUGGGUCUAAUACCGGAUAUGACAUCUACCCGCAUGGGUGGGAUGUGGAAAGUUUUUUCGGUUGGGGAUGGGCUCGCGGCCUAUCAGCUUGUUGGUGGGGUAGUGGCCUACCAAGGCGACGACGGGUAGCCGGCCUGAGAGGGCGACCGGCCACACUGGGACUGAGACACGGCCCAGACUCCUACGGGAGGCAGCAGUGGGGAAUAUUGCGCAAUGGGCGGAAGCCUGACGCAGCGACGCCGCGUGGGGGAUGACGGCCUUCGGGUUGUAAACCUCUUUCAGCAGGGACGAAGUUGACGUGUACCUGUAGAAGAAGCGCCGGCUAACUACGUGCCAGCAGCCGCGGUAAUACGUAGGGCGCAAGCGUUGUCCGGAAUUAUUGGGCGUAAAGAGCUCGUAGGUGGCUUGUUGCGUCUGCCGUGAAAGNCCCGUGGCUUAACUGCGGGUCUGCGGUGGAUACGGGCAGGCUAGAGGCUGGUAGGGGCAAGCGNANUCCU
rnacentral:rRNA from 1 species